UUCCUGCAGGGAAAACCGCAGGAGAGCUAUGCUUCAAAACAAUGCAAUGCUGGAUGUCGAAUGUUCUUUUGGUGCCAAUCAGUCAACUUGUAUGGCUAUCGGGGGAAAUUUGCCUCACUGGCUCAGAGAAGAAUUCAUCAUGAGCCAAGUUAUCGAAUAAGCAACAAGCGCACCGUUGCAGAAAGAGUCGAGCAACAAGCAGGAGCUGGAGCUCAUAAUGGCAACUUCCCAUUUGUGUUAGAACAUAAUCAAGCUGAAGUGCAGAAUCCUGGUAUCAAACAGGACCUGAUCAUCAUUGACAGUGAUACGUCUUCAGAGGAGACUAUUUCUGAUGAUCAUAACGCCAAGGUUUAGCUGCAGAUUUAGUUUUUAGUAGAUUCAUGAUAAAAGUUAAGAAGAUCGAUGCUGGUCUGUACUCAUCUGUAGGGUUGAGGAAGGAUUCUGUAGUUUUCUUAAGCUAAAAAUUCUUUGAUUAUUAUUCAAUGUAGUUCUAAGUAAAUAAAAUCUUUGGUAGAGCAGCCAUUAACAAAA